UUGGCCAGUGUUUUGUCACAAUGACACACA
rnacentral:piRNA from 1 species